rnacentral:rRNA from 1 species
AACGAACGCUGGCGGCAUGCCUAACACAUGCAAGUCGAACGAGACCUUCGGGUCUAGUGGCGCACGGGUGCGUAACGCGUGGGAACCUGCCCUUAGGUUCGGAAUAACUCCCCGAAAGGGGUGCUAAUACCGGAUAAUGUCUUCGGACCAAAGAUUUAUCGCGUUUGGAUGGGCCCGCGUUGGAUUAGCUAGUUGGUAGGGUAAAAGCCUACCAAGGCGACGAUCCAUAGCUGGUCUGAGAGGAUGAUCAGCCACACUGGGACUGAGACACGGCCCAGACUCCUGCGGGAGGCAGCAGUGGGGAAUAUUGGACAAUGGGCGAAAGCCUGAUCCAGCAAUGCCGCGUGAGUGAUGAAGGCCUUAGGGUUGUAAAGCUCUUUUACCCGGGAUGAUAAUGACAGUACCGGGAGAAUAAGCUCCGGCUAACUCCGUG